rnacentral:rRNA from 1 species
UGCUUCUCUGCUGACGAGCGGCGGACGGGUGAGUAAUGCUUGGGUAUCUGCCUUGUGGUGGGGGACAACAGUUGGAAACGACUGCUAAUACCGCAUAAUCUCUACGGAGCAAAGUGGGGGACCUUCGGGCCUCACGCCACAAGAUGAACCCAAGUGGGAUUAGCUAGUUGGUAAGGUAACGGCUUACCAAGGCGACGAUCCCUAGCUGGUCUGAGAGGAUGACCAGCCACACUGGAACUGAGACACGGUCCAGACUCCUACGGGAGGCAGCAGUGGGGAAUAUUGCACAAUGGGCGCAAGCCUGAUGCAGCCAUGCCGCGUGUGUGAAGAAGGCCUUCGGGUUGUAAAGCACUUUCAGUCGUGAGGAAAGGUAGCGUGUUAAUAGCACGUUGCUGUGACGUUAGCGACAGAAGAAGCACCGGCUAACUCCGUGCCAGCAGCCGCGGUAAUACGGAGGGUGCAAGCGUUAAUCGGAAUUACUGGGCGUAAAGCGCGUGUAGGUGGCUUGUUAAGCCAGAUGUGAAAGCCCCGGGCUCAACCUGGGAACUGCAUUUGGAACUGGCAGGCUAGAGUUUUGUAGAGGGUGGUAGAAUUUCAGGUGUAGCGGUGAAAUGCGUAGAGAUCUGAAGGAAUACCGGUGGCGAAGG